AGCCUUUUGAAUCCGUGCAGAGGUUUCGUCAGGCAUCAACCCAUUGGGGCUGAUCAGACUUUCAAGAUAAGUGAGGUU
rnacentral:pre_miRNA from 1 species